UUAACACAUGCAAGUCGCACGAAGAACGCUUUGGCUUUGCCAAAGCAAGUAAAGUGGCGAACGGGUGCGUAACGCGUAGAUAACCUGCCCACAGGCGCGGGACAACCACGGGAAACCGUGGCUAAUACCGCACGUCGUCUGGAGCCCGCAUGGGCACCAGAUGAAACCCUGCGAGGGGGCCUUUGGAUGGGUCUGCGUCGGAUUAGCUUGUUGGUGAGGUAACGGCUCACCAAGGUGACGAUCCGUAGCUGGUCUGAGAGGACGAUCAGUCACACUGGGACUGAGACACGGCCCAGACUCCUACGGGAGGCAGCAGUGGGGAAUCUUGCACAAUGGGGGAAACCCUGAUGCAGCCAUGCCGCGUGGAGGAAGACACCCCUAUGGGGCGUAAACUCCUUUUCUGAGAGAAGAAACCUCUGUAGUUUCAGAGUGUGACGGUAUCUCAAGAAUAAGCACCGGCUAACUCCGUGCCAACAGCCGCGGUAAUACGGAGGGUGCAAACGUUGUCCGGAAUCACUGGGGCGUAAAGGGUGCGCAAGCCGGGCAGCAAGUCCGAGGUGAAAGCCCAUGGCUCAACCAAUGGAGUGCCUUCGAGAACUGUUGCUCCUGAAUCUCCGAAAGGCUGUCCGAAUUCGUUGGUGUUACCGUGAAAUGCGCAGAUAUCACGAAG
rnacentral:rRNA from 1 species